rnacentral:rRNA from 1 species
ACGGGAGGCAGCAGUGAGGAAUAUUGGUCAAUGGACGAGAGUCUGAACCAGCCAAGUAGCGUGCAGGAUGACGGCCCUAUGGGUUGUAAACUGCUUUUGUACGGGAAUAAAGUGACCUACGUGUAGGUUUUUGCAUGUACCGUAAGAAUAAGGACCGGCUAAUUCCGUGCCAGCAGCCGCGGUAAUACGGAAGGUCCGGGCGUUAUCCGGAUUUAUUGGGUUUAAAGGGUGCGCAGGCGGUCGAUUAAGUCAGUGGUCAAAUCACGGUGCUCAACGCCGUUCCGCCAUUGAUACUGGUUGACUUGAUUCCGGUCGAGGCAGGCGGAAUUCGUAGUGUAGCGGUGAAAUGCAUAGAUAUUACGAAGAACUCCGAUUGCGUAGGCAGCUUACCAGGCCGGCAAUGACGCUCAUGCACGAAAGUGCGGGGAUCGAACAGGAUUAGAUACCCUGGUA